CCUACGGGAGGCAGCAGUGAGGAAUAUUGGUCAAUGGGCGUAAGCCUGAACCAGCCAAGUCGCGUGAGGGAUGAAGGUUCUAUGGAUCGUAAACCUCUUUUAUAAGGGAAUAAAGUGUGGGACGUGUCCUGUUUUGUAUGUACCUUAUGAAUAAGGAUCGGCUAACUCCGUGCAAGCAGCCGCGGUAAUACGGGGGAUCCGAGCGUUAUCCGGAUUUAUUGGGUUUAAAGGGUGCUUAGGCGGCCUUUUAAGUCAGGGUUGAAAGUCUGUGGCUCAACCAUGGAAUUGCCGUUGAAAAGGGGAGGCUUGAGUAUCUGUGAGGCAGGCGGAAUGCGUGGUGUAGCGGUGAAAUGCUUAGAUAUCACGCAGAACCCCGAUUGCGAAGGCAGCCUGCCAAGCCAUGACUGACGCUGAUGCACGAAAGCGUGGGGAUCAAACAGGAUUAGAUACCCUUGUAGUC
rnacentral:rRNA from 1 species